UACGUAGGGGGCAAGCGUUGUCCGGAUUUAUUGGGCGUAAAGAGCGUGUAGGCGGCUUUACAGGUCCGUUGUGAAAACUCGAGGCUCAACCUCGAGACGUCGGUUGAAACCACCUGGCUAGAGUCCGGAAGAGGAGUGUGGAAUUCCCGGUGUAGCGGUGAAAUGCGCAGAUAUCGGGAAGAACACCCGUGGCGAAGGCGGCACUCUGGGACGGUACUGACGCUGAGACGCGAAAGCGUGGGGAGCGAACAGG
rnacentral:rRNA from 1 species